UAGCCACCACCCGCCGCCGACCGAACAUGUGUUGGGUUAGUCCUUUUUUUUUUUUGGUUUUUGUUUUUCAAUCUCAUUUUAUCAUUAUUAGUUGCAUUACUUUGUAUAGUUGUAGUUUAAUUAGAAGAUUUUUUAACUUUAUUGAUUGUUCAAUGUUUGUUUUAGGUAUUAGAUGAUUUAGAUAAUAUUUCUUUGUUUGCUUUUUGGUAAAAGAUUCAAUCUGGUAUAUGAAAUUGACCCAUUUACUUGUUUGGAAAUGAAAUGGGUUCAAAUAGAGAUACACAGUUAGAUGAUUCAAAUCACCUCUCACGGUGUAGAUGUAGUUGAUUGAAUGUGCAUUUUGUUUUUACUCAAUGAGCUAUUUACAUUACCCAACAAGGAAAGCAACCGGCAAAUUAUUAGUAGCGUAGGAAAUGGGACAUUUUAAGACUUCUUUAUCUUGAAUUUAUCUUGCUUUGUCUACUAUUGAAGUGAGUGACUCAAUUUUUUGGUCCGUGUCCCCGCAUUCUUUGGACUAUUGUUUCUUGAAUCUUGCCUCAAACUUGGAUAUUCUUAAUUAUACCGAAGAUCACUUUGUCGGUGUUAUUAAGCGAGAAGAAACGACCAUCCGGCUCUUCAUGAUGAAGCGAGCGUAUCGCUUCUUGCUUCACACUUUAAGUGGGACCUUGUCGCUUUUUCUUGAUUCGCAUUUCCGGAAACACUGAUCAUAUAAAGAUAAUGGUUCGGUUAUUGUCUUCAAGAUGAUGUUAACGCUCGAGAGGGGUCGAAGUACCUCAAGAUGAAGUCUUCAAGAUUACUCAAACGAGGAAGGCGAAGAACGCCGAUGGUACGGACCAAUGGAUUGAGACGACGUAGGUCACAAGACAACGUAGUUCAUGCUCUUGUUUAUGAGGAUAGUGGGAAGGAAUCGGAUCAUGUCUCUAACACCCAACGUUGACUUUUUUGAUUCAUAUACUUUUGGAUUGUAAUAUUGCUAUGUUUUCUUGGAUAUGUAUAUUUUUUUAUGAUAGUUUUAAUUCGAAUUAGAUGUACUUUUGAAUGUGAAUUAGAUUGUAGGAAGUAGUUUAUGGAUGUUUAAGUGUUUGAAUGUAGAAAGUAGUUUAUGGUUGUUUAACUUUACGAUGUUUAAGUGUUUGAAUGUAGUUUUAAGGAUAUUUAGAAGUACUUUAAAUUGAAACUUGAGGUUGAAUUUGAUUUUAGAAUGUGAAGUUUAUGAUUGUAGAA